UACGGGGGGAGCAAGCGUUGUUCGGAUUUACUGGGCGUAAAGGGCGCGUAGGCGGCGCAACAAGUCACUUGUGAAAUCUCCGGGCUUAACCCGGAGCGGCCAAGUGAUACUGUCGUGCUAGAGUGCGGAAGGGGCUACUGGAAUUCUCGGUGUAGCGGUGAAAUGCGUAGAUAUCAGGAGGAACACCAAUGGCGAAGGCAGCUCGCUGGAACGGUACUGACGCUGAGGCGCGAAAGCGUGGGGAGCAAACAGG
rnacentral:rRNA from 1 species